CCUACGUGAGGCAGCAGUGAGGAAUAUUGGUCAAUGGGCGCGAGCCUGAACCAGCCAAGUAGCGUGAAGGAUGACUGUCCUACGGGUUGUAAACUUCUUUUAUAAAGGAAUAAAGUGAGGCACGUGUGCCUUUUUGUAUGUACUUUAUGAAUUAGGAUCGGCUAACUCCGUGCCAGCAGCCGCGUUACUACGGAGGAUCCUAGCGUUGACCGGAUUUAUUGGGUUUAAAGGGAGCGUGGAUGGGUUGUUAAAUCAGUUGUGAAAGUUUCCGGCUCAACCGGAAAAUUGCAAUUGAUACUGGCAGCCUUGAGUACAGGUGAAGUAGGCGGAAUGCGUGGUGUAGCGGUGAAAUGCUUAGAUAUCACGAAGAACUCCGAUUGCGAAGGCAGCUUACUAAACUGCCACUGACAUUGAUGCACGAAAGUGUGGGUAUCAAACAGGAUUAGAUACCCUGGUAGUC
rnacentral:rRNA from 1 species